GGCGCCUUAAUUUAUCCGCCGUCCGUUGCGGCUUUCGGCAAAAGAAGUUGAUUCGAAGGCUAGACGAGUCGUCUUCAACAUCGCCUCCCUGCGCACUCGUUUUCCGAUUGCUUUGUGGGACCAAAACAUUAUCCACUUCAUAAUUUCAGUUCCUUUUCCCAUUUCAUCGACUCAAAUUAACUCGUGAGAGGAAUCGCGUUCCAAGUUCAUACUCACUGUUUUGGUGUCUCCAUGUCAACUCUACAAUAUUCUAGCGACUGCUUUCUCAACGAUGCUCUGUUUGCUUUGACGCAAAAUGGUUCAGAAAACGUACCUUCUUCUUUACCACGAGAGCUUUGCAGAUCAUUAAUAUGGCCAUCUGCUCUGUUUUCUUCAAUUAAUCAACAAGUUUUGAGUACAGCCUUCCCUUUCCAGAAAGGCCGUUUGUAAUAUCCCGGAUGGAUCCAACCUGACCUUUCAAUCAUUGCAGUGGCUUUCUUUUUCCUGCUCUCUGUUGUGGGCAGGUUUCAUUGGUAUGCCGUCUUAGUAUACAUGGAAUCUUGAUUGGGACGACACCCUCCUGGAUAUUGGAACUCUCUCUUGGGCCGCGGUAACCUUUCUUCAUUUGCGGAUGAACAUCUCUUGCUUCAGCACAUCGAUACUAUUACUAUUUCACAGGUUAAGCAACAUUAAGAAAUGGAGAGUCACGAGAGUAGUGUAGCGCAGGAUGGUGAUGCAGAACUAUUAUGUGUUGGUGACUUGCAGAUGUAAUCGGUUAAAGUAAAUGUUUCCAUGAGAUUGACUAAAGUGUCUGAUCUGAAGGCUACUUGUCACCCAUUCAUCUGGCUUGUGAGAAGACAAAUUUUCUAGGCCUGAUGGACCUUCAUCUGUCAUUUUCAACUGGUCAAGCUGGUGACGUGCAAAAUGGUUCUCUGGAGUAAAUGUGAAGUUCAGAUGAAUUCUCAGUACCAUUAACAUGAGGGUUGAGAUAGGUUCAUUUAUUCUUUGUCUUAGUUUAUUGUUUUUUAUUCACAAAUCUAACCUGCCAGCUUCCGUAAUCUGCGACUUUUCCAUCAUCUUCCUGAGGCGCAUACUGGGUCAAAGUGGCGGUGAACGGAGGUACAAUUAUGACAUAUAGAUUGCCUUACUUCCAUUGUUCCAUAUUCUUAUCUGGACCUGAAAUUCAUGUUUCAAGUCAUAGUUCUAGUCUUACGUAAACAGUAUACUGAUUCUCUUUUGUUUUAGUUCUGUAACGUGUUUGAAUUUUUUUUGGCAAUAUGCAACUUAAUUGGCACGUAUAAAACAAUAGUCUUAGUAUUAUGGAUAUAUUACUGGGUUAGAGUUCUUCUAGUCUUUUAGGUUGCCGCAUCAUCUGUAUUUACUGAUACUCUUGAGGUACUUUUUAUUGGCUAGAAUUUCUAGUUUUGUGCCACAUACAGAUGAUGGCUGUAUGGGGGGCCAUUUUCGUCGUAAUAUGAGGGCAACGGAAUAGUAAUUGCGACUUUUAUUGGAAUUAUUUUAUGAGAAAAGAAUAAACCGACCUACUGCAUAUUUGAUUUCCAGUUUCAACAUAACUUUUGGUAGAUUUAAUGACAAGAAAAACAUCGAUCUUUUAUAAAUCAAGCAAAGACAAUACAACUAGUCGCUUUCACAUCAGUUCAUGUUUUUGUGAUGGAAUUAUUAAAAUUUUCUAGUGUUUUGGAAUUGCCACGGAAGGAUAUAGUUUUCUUAGACAAUACGUUGAGUUGUCUCUUCUAGGUAAAUAUUUUGGCUAUUUGUGAGAAGCUGAGAACUAUGUAAUGCAUUUUCUGUCAUACCAUCCUUUAGUUUUGGCUAAAAAUAUCCGGAUCUUCUAUGUUAUACUCCAAAAUACUUUCAGAUGCAUCAUUUCUCGCAAUUAAAUAUCAGUUGUACAAAGGAAUCUGAAGUUAGAUUCAUGAAUGAUAAGUUUUGGACUUCUUAGUAUGUUCCACCUCGGAGCAGCCCUGUGGUUUGAUUUUCUGACAACCUAAAUACCAGGUCUAUAUUUGUUAGAUUUGCUACCCCACACUGCUAUUUAAUUUUUAUUUAAUUUUAUUUUUGCUCUGUAUUUUUCAUGAUAACAGGUGGUCAACAGAGCUCACUCUUGCCAUUGCUAUCAGUUACAUAUCUCCAUAAUCCUCCAUCUUUCUGAUGCAAGAGUAUAUUAUAUAUGCUCGUAGUCACAGAGAGGCAAAUUUAAAUGAGUUGAAUUAGGCCUAGAGAGGAGUUGUACCUAACCUAAUAAUUUGAAUUGGGUUCGGGUUGAUUGAAGUCAAGCUAAUGGCAAGAGUUGAUGAACCAACCUGACGUUGUUAGACUCGGGCCCAAUCGACUUAAGUUGUAUUCAUAAUGCACUUUUUAGGUUAGAUUGUACUUUCAAUUGUGGUCAAAAUUAAGUUGACGUUCUAAAUAUUUUUAAAGGUUUUAAAAAUCAUUUCAAACAGGUUAAGAGAUGUAGUGUACUAUAUGUUGGCAGUCUCUUUCUUCCACAUGUCAACUCAAGUCUCCUCGCAGCUCAGGAAAGCCACAGAACAAAGUGUUGAUGCAUUUUAAUUAAUCUACUUCUGUGAGGCUUUUGCAGGUAUUAGUAAUACUGUGGUGUACGUGCACAGGGCUAAUGCAUUGGUGCAAGAAAUACCAAUAUGAACAUAAAACAGUGCUCUCAGCCAUCAGUUCAGGUUCUAAGUAGUUGGAAGUAGUUGGAAUGGGCUUUUGAUGUGGUGGUGAGAUUGAAGAAAUGGGGGCCAGGGAAAGACUUGUAAGCUUUGUGAAAUUGAUGGAAACGUCAUGCAUUCGCAAUAAUUUGUUGAAAUGGCAAAUACCCAACUAUUUCCAAACACUCACAUCUAUACUUAUACUUAUGGUAUGAUUAUUAC